UACGUAGGGUGCAAGCGUUGUUCGGAAUUACUGGGCGUAAAGAGUGUGUAGGCGGUGUUCUAAGUUUGUCGUGAAAUCUCCCGGCUUAACUGGGAGGGUGCGGCGAAAACUGGAAUGCUAGAGGAUGGGAGAGGUAAGCGGAAUUCCUGGUGUAGCGGUGAAAUGCGUAGAUAUCAGGAGGAACACCUGUGGUGUAGACAGCUUACUGGACCAUUUCUGACGCUGAGACACGAAAGCGUGGGUAGCAAACAGG
rnacentral:rRNA from 1 species